CACAGUUUCAAUCUUCCAAAGAUAUUUUUAAGAACAUCGGCGCAAACUAGAAAUUAUUCGUUCAAAGGACGAAACUAGUGGUUAGGAUCAUGACGUAAGAGCAAUUGUUCAAGCCUUCUUCCAAGCAGGUUCUCGAACCGAGCCUUGAGAAAAAAGACGAAGAAUGGGAACUCAUUGUCAGUCGUUUCCAUGGCAGACAACGUUAAUUAUUUCGUGUCUGUGCAGGUCCGCGAAAAUGCGACCACAGGAGCCACUAGGAAUGCCUCUUUUGUCGGUCAAUCAGCUGAUUCCUAGAACGGCUAGAACCGAGCGAGAGCGUCUAGUAAAGUUCCGAAGCGACUUGGCUCGUUGUACGGUCGCGGUCGCGUGGUUUCAAGGACAAGGCAAGGUUGACACGCGCCGCCACUCGCGAACAGUAAGUGGGGGGUCUGGCUUCGUUUCAUUCCCUCCACGUUUGCUUUUCUCUCCCGUUUCAGCAUCGCUCUAUGCCUCGGUGCCUUGCUCUCUAUCCCCCACACGCUUCCGCGCCGCGGUUGGUGACUGCCUUCGCUCGCAGACCUCGUCGUCAAUCUCUUACUGAUAAGUGCUAUCCGGUGACACGCUGCUGGAGCGAACGAUGAUUAUCUGUCCUCGUAGAAAAACGCUGCUGCGAAGGCUUCUGCCUCCUCUAUCUUUCUCGUUCUGGUUUCGUUUGCUGGAAUCUUGCUCGAGAUCAUGGCAGAUUCGCGUUGCAGCGCAUUAAACGGGAAUUUGUUGCAAUGGAUCGACAGAGAGAUUAAGUCGUAGUCUCUUGUACUAUUAAAUUAGGUUAAAAGUUCAUGCCCUUUUAUCUAUGGUUAGUCCCUCCCUUAAAUAGAGGGAGAUUGAUAUGUAUAUUUUGGAAUCUUGAAGUCGAUGAGGAAGAUGUUUUGGAGCACGUAAGUAAUUGGAAUUUGGUGGUAUAAAAUUAGAAAAUUUGAUAGAACGUAAUAUUUGAUUCUUUAAAGUCGUAUUAUAGAUUCUUCGGAAUUUAGAUUGUGAUAGAAAAGUGAAUUUUAUUUUAAAAUCUUGACGCUGAAUAAAAUGCUUUGGGGUAAAUAUGUUCCCGGGGUACAAAUAUAAAAAGACAUAAAUAUAAAAUUGGAAACUAUGUUGAAAAAGUCUUUAAACAAUCAGAUAGUAUUCUUGAAACGUAUUAAUAUUCUUAAGACAUAUUGGUCUUCUUAACACUUCUAUUAUCAGUAUUAGUUCUUUUUCAAGAGACUCUAGAGACAAACAAGAUUUCAUCAUGCCAAAGUAGCCUGUAUAAUCCAAGGGAAGCAAAAACUCGUCCCGCGUCAGUUAAACGCGACGCGUCGCCUGUCUAAUAGUCUGACCGGCGACGUCCUAUUCUACUUAGACCGCGAACGAGACACGCAUCGCUAUGAGCAGGAAUAAAUCAGAAUGAGUGUUCGAGCGCCAUAAGCACGAUGCCAGAAAGGGCCACGAACCUAUCGAAGGGACGAAGGUACACCGUCCAAGAUUAGCCGUUUGUCUCGCGUCUCACGUACAGGAUCGUCUUCCAAGUUUUUUCUAAGGCGCCGUUUAUCGUGCUGCCGUUCGCGAAACGCGGCCCUUUGCUCGCGAGGCAGAAGAAGCCGGGCAUUUUCGUGCGUUCCACGUGCCACAGAAAUGGUCGUUCGGGUUUCUUUUGCCCCUGGACUUUUGGCCAGCGCGCAUUUACCGAUGUUCACCAUGAAGAUCAACCGACUGACGGUGAACACGACUGCCUUGUGCUCGAUGACUGUCAGAUGCGAGUUCAUUGGUAAGAAAUCGAUGGAUUUUAUACCGCUCGAUACUUCUGGACGUGUGUUUUCGUAGAACAGACAAGUUGAAGUAUGUUGUGAGUGUGUCAUCGAUUAAUCGGCCUCUGCUUUCAAUUUAGUUUUUGCCGACAGACCUGUUUUUGAGCUCAUGGAAUUUUUUGAACAUUCUUUUACUCUCCUACUUCUUCUUGUAUUUUAGAGGAUUAGCAGAUUUUAAGGUUCACUAACCGAUUGUUAGAUAUAUCGUCAUAUACUUUCAGUAAUAAAUGGAGUGUGAAUUUUGAUGCAUUUAUGGAAAAUUUACGGGCGCAACAAUUUACGGAAUGCAUGGAAUAUACAAAAGUAUAUAAGAUAUCUAAAGUAUAGUAUCUGUUGUAAUACUUGGUAAGUGAAACAAAUCUCUGACUAGAUCUUGCUCUUUUAGUUGCGUUUAUAAAAAUAUGAAUUCGCAUAAACAUCCGUAGUAUAGCAAACUGUAGAUUCCAUGUAAAGCUUUAUUUCAAGUGCAUUGGAAUUUGAUUUGAAUUGAAAUCUGCUCAGUGACAAUACGAUUAUCAUGAGUUUCUUGAACUCUGAUUUAUUGUCAAGAUUCCACUUUUACAAUUUCACGUUGCCUGUAGAGAAUCAAUUAUUCCCUGGAGAUUUUACCUAUAAAAACAACACUCGAAAGUCAUUUGCCGUUAAAGUACCUGACAUAUGCAUCUAUUUUUCCACCUCUCGAAAUAUUAUAUCUAUUUCCCGACGACUUAACUCCAUAUUCUAUGAAAAAUGACGCUAGAAAAACCAGGAGAGAUGUUGAAACAAAAGUCAUUCGAGGAAGGAAAUAACCUCCUUAAAAACUCCAAGCUCAUGCUGACGCGACGAAACAAUUCAAGGACCGAACAAGCAACAAUAUCUCGACAAUUAAUGGAGCAAUUAAUCGAAAAAACCAUCGACACGACUUUCGACAAGGCGUUUCGAAAUGCAAGCAUCGACUCGAAUCACGGCACGCCGAUAUUCAAUGCAUGCGCAAUACACAACCGGGGCCGUAGUCUAUCGAUGUUUCCCUUCUCUGAAUGGUGGUUUUGUAUUUCGAGAAUGUUAAUAUGACGAAGCGUCUGCUAACGGCUGCCAGACGCUGAAUAAUCAAACGGAAUACCUAAGUGGCUCGAAUUUCUUCGCUCUUUGGAAGCGAACGAUGUUUAUUUCGAGGAACGAUGGUGCUGGCAAGUUUUCGAUAUGUGUCAGCAGUCUCAGCCUGCGAAUCGACGAAUCCACACAUUUUCUACCGAUCUCGUGCAAAAUCAAUUUCCUCCUUUUUUAUCUAUUUCUGUUGAGACGUAAGAAUAAAAUCGGAAUUGUAAACUGAGAUUUCUAAGCAGUCGACCAACACCGAUGACGAUCUGAAAUUUCAGACGCACCCCCAAUAAAAUCGCGAACUGUUGCUCCGUCGCGAGAUCCCUUCGGAUUUUCUAGCCAAGAUCAAUCAUUUAGGUAGGUAAUCGUAGAUGCGGACUGGCAACACCAAUGAAAACGCAAUUAUCGAAAAUUAUUUUGCACGCUUAUUGUUAGUACUCUAUGCAAAUCACCUGGAAGCCAGCCAUUCAUGAAACAAUAAGAACAAUUCGAGUCCGCUGUCUACAAAAUACACGUACAACGCACAAAGAGUACAGAACAUAUUUGUAAGAAUCAUUCUUGACACCACUCGCGGCUACAGUUUGCGAAAAUGACAUGUGGAAACCGAAAGACAGACAUUAUGACCCAUAUUGUAGAACUCACUCAUGCGAAGAACACUGAACAAAACACACAACAAUACGCUAAUUAACAAAAUAGCAAGAUACAAUCGUAACGAAUUCCUAUUCAAAAUCCGAAAGAACUCCUAUCCCACAAUUUAUUACUCAGAAAGCUAAUGCCACUUGAUUUAAUUCAGACGCGUACAGGUUUUUGGAAAUGUUUCCUGUCCACACACAUUGAAGCUCAAGAAGCCAAUCCUAAUUGUCAAUAAAUCUACACCUACACUUACAGGUUUUAAGCGCGUAAUAAGGCGAACUUUAACUGCCUAAGGCAUCGCAUCAAACAUACUCAGACGAAAGAAAAAGAAAGGAAAGACACUUAGUAUUCUCAACGCAAUUGUGUAACAUAAAACUCGACUCUUGACCAACUCGGCUAAACCUACUCGCUCGAAAUUGUAAUUUAUAAUAAUUCGAGUUGUGAGCGAAUACGUGAUAUCUUCUCGGUCGCGACGAAGAACGCGAUGUACAACGAUUUUCUUCAACAGAUCGAUCGAAAUAGUGCCGCGUUUGUGUUCUUUGAUCUUAUUAUUUUAUAUUUUGAUCGAUACGUCCGGUCGACGAGAAGCGAGGAUGUUGAAAGGUUCGCAGAGGUUCGAUUGCGAAACGAACAAACCGAUUUCUUGGAUUCAACGUGGAACAUAUUGUCCCGCUAUUCUUAGAUCGGAUCAAGCUUACUUACAGCGUUGUCCGUCUAGAUUUACAUAGGUUGGCCCGUGGCACACUAACACCAUGAGCAUACACGUCGAAUCGUAUCGAUCUACGCCAGUCACGAUCGACCAUUGUUCCUGUAAGCUCUUUCGCGGCUGACACUUCGUUCGGAAACCUUGCUCGCCGCGUGUAAUCCGGUAUUUACAUAUUCCCAAAUGCUUGCACGAGUUGCGGAUCACGGCUGAACUCUGUACACUGUCCUAGCGCCUCGCUCUUUUCUUUGAAAUUGGUUUAACUUGCAAGAGCAGCUUUGGAGAUGCAAAAUACCGCUUAUUGAUGGUACGAGCAUUUUCGCGAGUUAAGAACCAGAGAGUUCCAAUCUGCGCAUAAUAACAGAUCGAGAUGCACAUUCACUACAAAAGAAAUAUAAAAAAUGAACAAUUAAAUAAAUUGAUUAGCCUUCUUCUUUCUUCUUUUCAACAAAAUUGAAAAAUUAUUUGGAAGCUUACAAAACAAUUAUUUACCAAAUGUAAUUGUUACAAAAAAUAGACUCUAAGAAACAAUGGUACAAUAUUAUUUUUGUAAUUUCCUAUUUUUUACACUUGAAAUCUUCUUUUCACGUUCUUAAUGAUUUUCUAAUACAAACCGAUUUAUUUUCCAUUGUGUCUUGAAAUACACCUGAGAAAUUUGAAAUAUGAAAUACGAAGUAUCGAACAAACGAAAUACACAGACCGAUCUAUCCUCCUCAAAUUCCUGUGAAAUUCAAUUCCACAUCCCUACCCCAUCAAAACGUGCAUCCAGAACGAGUCAGAACACGUGACCAGUUACAGCCCCGGGGCGAUAUAAUUCCCGUGUCGGCAUAGAAGUACGUAGCUCGCGUGGGAUUGGAUAAGGGCACGAAGCACGGCCAAUUUGGGUUAAUAACGCUCCUCGGUUAAAUCUACUACAAGAAAGACAGAACACCGUCGACACGUUUUCUCAGUCGCGUUCUUCAUCCUCGGGUUACGACUAUUACGGUGCGCAGUAUAGUGUGGAGUUUAUAUCAUGACUCUCCUUACGCUUUCGUAAAAUUUAGUAAUAUCUUUUUCUCUUUUGAAGUUUCUUACAAUCGAUUCUUUCGUCAAGAAGUCAACUUUAUUAAUUGCAUUGGGCUAUUAAUGUAUUUUAUAUAUAUAUACGAAACUUUUAUAUAUAAAACUGUUUGAGGCUAAUUAUUAGUUGUUAAAUUUGGUUAAUAAUAAUUUAGUAAAAUGAAAGUGUAAAUAAACAUUCGUUCACCGAUCGAACAUCGAAUGUUGCAUUUUAUUAUUGUAUUUAAAAGAAUACAAGAUGAUUACCAAAAUGGAGAUCUCUCAGCCGAGAAACUUACAAUUAGCUAGUGUUUGGAUGAUAAAAGAAAAUUAAGUACGAAGUGAAAUUGUGUAUGGAAUGAUUCGCGAAACAACGAAUUGGAAGUUUCUCGCUUCAAGUGAUCAUAACUUGCGAAAUGAAUGCAUGGAGUGCAAGAAAUUGAAUCCUAUUCUGUAAAGGAAAGUAGAUAUUUAUAUAGCAUGUAAAAGCAUAUUGGACAAAUUGUUAAUUAAUAACCAGACAAAAGAUACGUAUGCAUUUUUGGCUUAAGGUUUCACAAAUCUACAAAAUGCAUAUAACAUGUAAGAAUA